rnacentral:rRNA from 1 species
UACGUAGGGUGCGAGCGUUGUCCGGAAUUAUUGGGCGUAAAGAGCUCGUAGGCGGUGUGUCACGUCGGCCGUGAAAACCUGCAGCUUAACUGUGGGCGUGCGGUCGAUACGGGCAUCACUGGAGUUCGGCAGGGGAGACUGGAAUUCCUGGUGUAGCGGUGAAAUGCGCAGAUAUCAGGAGGAACACCGGUGGCGAAGGCGCCUAUCUGGCCCGAUACUGACGCUGGAGGCGACGAAAGCUAGGGGAGCAAACGGG